ACAGAAUUUACAUGCCCCUAUAGUUGACAGGUGGACUGUUAUAGAUGCUCCAGAACCACGUCAGUUGAUUUGGACUAAUCUUUCGAUAACGUUUUAUGUGAGAAUAAUCCGGCAGUAUGUUGUGUACGUCGUUGUGUUUUUGACCAUAUUCUUUUACAUGAUCCCGAUUGGGUUCAUCUCGGCAUUAUAACGUUUUAUGUGAGAAUAAUUCGGCAGUAUGUUGUGUACAUUGUUGUGUUUUUGACCAUAUUCUUUUACAUGAUUCCAAUUGGGUUCAUCUCGGCAUUAACAACUCUAGACAAUCUGGUGAAGCUUCUCCCGUUUUUGAAACCGGUUGUGAGUCAGAAGGCAAUCAAGACUGUGCUUGAAGCUUAUUUGCCUCAGCUUGCGCUCAUCAUAUUUUUGGCUUUGUUGCCAAAGUUUCUUAUGUUUCUAUCUUCUCCCGUUUUUGAAACCGGUUGUGAGUCAGAAGGCAAUCAAGACUGUGCUAGAAGCAUAUUUGCCUCAGCUUGCGCUCAUCAUAUUUUUGGCUUUGUUGCCAAAGUUUCUUAUGUUUCUAUCCAAAGCAGAGGGCAUCCCAUCAGAAAGCCAUGUUACAAGAGCUGCUUCAGGGAAAUAUUUUUAUUUCUCAGUACUGAAUGUAUUUAUUGGUGUUACUCUCGGUGGAACUCUAUUUGGUACCUUCAAGAGCAUUGAGAAAGAACCCAACUCUAUUUUUCGUGUAUUGGCAGAAAGCCUUCCACAGAAUGCAACUUUCUUCUUGACCUUUGUGGCUUUGAAGUAAGUCUUGAGCUUGAUUUCACUUUUAUUUUCGCAGCUACAAAUUUUAUCUUUUUUUUUUUUCCCUCUAACGGUAUGUUGUCUUGAAGACAAGAGGGGUUGCUUUGAUGGUAAGCAACCCCCACUUCCAACCGAGAGGUUGUGAGUUNNNNNNNNNNNNNNNNNNNNNNNNNNNNNNNNNNNNNNNNNNNNNNNNNNNNNNNNNNNNNNNNNNNNNNNNNNNNNNNNNNNNNNNNNNNNNNNNNNNNNNNNNNNNNNNNNNNNNNNNNNNNNNNNNNNNNNNNNNNNNNNNNNNNNNNNNNNNNNNNNNNNGAGCAAGGUGAGAAGUUCUUGGAGGAAAGGAUGCCGGGGGUCUAUUUGGAAACAGCCUCUCUNNNNNNNNNNNNNNNNNNNNNNNNNNNNNNNNNNNNNNNNNNNNNNNNNNNNNNNNNNNNNNNNNNNGGGAAGGAUGCCGGGGGUCUAUUUAGAAACAGCCUCUCUACCCAAGGGUAGGGGUAAGGUCUGCGUACACACUACCCUCUCCAGACCCCACUAAGUGGGAAUAUACUGGGUUGUUGUUGUUGUUGUAACGGUAUGUUGUCUUGAGUUGCGGCCGAUAUGUUUUCUGAUCUUUGAUAAAAACCAUUCUCUUUAUACUAUUUUCUUUGUUGACGUUGAGUCAUUAUUUUUAUUAAGUGUGUGCUUCUGUGGUCUUAAAGCUCGGUUCAGAAUGGUAUAGCUAGUGAAAGAAUAUUAAUUCUCCUUUUAAUCUCAAUAAUGGUUCAUUGAAGUUUAUUCUCUUCACACAAUUCAAGGUGUUUUUAUGGUUCUGAAUCUUUUUACCUUUUUGCUAGUAGUUUUCCUUCUGCUUCUCUUGUUGAUAUAACUAGUCAAAUGAUUUUGCUAAUAAUUUGUUGAUCGCAGGUUCUUUGUUGGCUAUGGGCUGGAGCUGUCCAGAAUAGUUCCUCUAAUCAUAUUCCAUCUCAAGAAGAAGUAUCUGUGCAAAACUGAAGCAGAGAUAAAAGAGGCUUGGGCUCCUGGCGAUCUAGGCUAUGCAACUCGAUUUCCUAGUGAUAUGCUGAUUAUGACGAUUGUCCUAUGCUAUUCCGUCAUAGCUCCUAUUAUUUUACCGUUUGGAGUCGUUUACUUCGGUCUGGGCUGGCUUCUUCUACGGAAUCAGGUGAAUAAUACUGCCUAUGUGUCAUUUAAUCUCACUUUCUUUUUUAGUUUAUUCCAGAAAGAAUAAUAUGUUUCCAUAUUUGGAGACUCUUUUUGCGUUAAACAUCCAAUUUAACCCUGAGUUGUUGCAUGUUUAAGACCACACGUUUUGAGGAUACUUUUGUUAUGUGUUAAAAGUCCUUUCUUAAACUCGUUAUUGAAUCAAAUACCUUGAUAUAAAAUGAAACGGACAGAGUAGUUGUUUUGGUGUCUUAGUGUUUAUGUAUCAAUAAACUAAGCUUUAAUUCCAAAUUAGGUGGUCGAUUAUAUGAAUUAUUUAUAUCCAAAAUGGAUAUAUAGGUAUAUAAGUUUCACAUGCACUGGUAUAUAGACGUACUAGUUGUUAAACCAAAAUAACAAAGAGUACAUGCUGAUGUUUUAAUCUCAUUCGUUCUUUCCUGAUUUUUUAUUUCAAACAGGCACUGAAAGUGUACGUUCCUUCAUUCGAGAGCUACGGAAGAAUGUGGCCGCAUAUUCACACGCGCAUGUUAGCUACCUUGAUUUUGUAUCAAGUUACCAUGUGUGGUUACUUUGGAGUUAAAACGUUUGCGCCUACUCCAGUUCUUUUCCCACUUCCAAUAUUCUCCCUUAUCUUCGCGUUCAUUUGUCAGAAGAAGUUCCGUCGGUUCUUUGAAUCUCCAGCCCUCGAAGUCGUCUCUCAUGAACUAAAAGAAGUUCCGAACAUGGAAAUUGUCUUCAGAUCUUUCAUUCCACCAUGCUUGAGUGCAGGGAAGUCCGAUGACCAUCAGUUUGAGGGCGCAUUAUCUCACGUAUCAAAAACAGGUUCCUCUUCAGUAUGAUAUGAACAUUUGCAAGUAUCUUACCACGUGGUUUCAUUUUGUUAUAAAUUGUAAUUGGGAUAGUUCAUUGGAUAGUUGGUUUGUGUUGAUAGUUUCUACUUAGGAGUUUAGGUAGUUCUGCAUUGUGUGUUGAUAUGAUACUUCAUUGGAUAGUUGCUCUGUGUUCAUAGUUUGUUUUGUGAUAUUUGUGAAAUGAAUUUCAGUUCAGAAAGUUAAGUUGUAUUUUUCUGUAAUGAUAUUAACAUGUCGUGCUUCAAUUUGCAAGGAAUUUGUUGAAACUAUUUGUUUACCCAUAAAAGGUACCGUUGAAUACGUGAUUUAUAGUUGCGUAAAUUAAGAUGAUUUGAUUAAUAAAAUCUCAAAGUAUAUAAGGAUAGUAAAAUAAAUAUACUACUUUCUCUGUUUUAUAUUAUUUGAGGUACUUUUCUUUUUAGUAUGUUCCAAAAUAAAUGAUAUAUUAUUAAAUUUGGAAAUAAUUCAACUUUAAACUCUUCAUUUUACUUCUUUUGUCCUUAGGGAGAAACUUUUAUAGCCACACAAAUGAUAUGAGCUCACAAAUUUUUUAUCCGUAAUCUUUUAGGACAACAAGUUUUAAAAGUACGAGUUAAACUACCUCAAACAAUAUGAAAGGGAAGUAUUGACUUUACUUUAACUUUGUCCUCUUGGAAGUUAAGACAACAAAAAACCUUCUCUGGUCGUUACUCGUUUUUUUUUGGAUCGAAAAGAAGAACUUAUAUUAUAGAUAGUUAAACAGUAAUAUUAGUACAUGGAACAAGAUGCAUCAUAGGCAUCGUAAUAGCUAAAGCUAGAAUAAGUAAGAUUUCCUACAAGUGCCCCUACAUGGUGAUCAGUAUCAGUAACUAAGAUAGGAAGUCAUAACUACACAAAAUAUUGAUAUUAUGCGCAAAUACAUAAACAGACACUUAAACUAUCAAAGAAAGUUUAUCUGAAUACCUCAACUAAAUUAUUUUUCACCGAAAUACUUUUAUUAUUCUUUUACUGUAUCAGUUUAAUACGUCCGAAACGUAAUUCGGUGAUGUGGCAUAGUGUGUGUUGCCCAUCUCUUUAGAGAGCGUGUGAUGCUACUGUUAUGGAUCCCAAAUAUAAAAUAAAUGUCAAUAGAGAGAAAAAAAUAAAAAUAAAAUAACUUUCUUUCUCUCACCUUUCCAAUCUUCUCAUUCCACCAUAUCCUGUCAAUUAACACCAUGUGAGCUUUAUCAAGCUUCACCGUAAAUAUCCAAAAUAACUAUGUCUAGCAAUCCCUUCAAGUCUUUAAACGAGCAGCCCCAACAACUACGUCCAACAACCCCUUUAACAUUUCCGGCAAUUUUUUUUUCGACGAAGUUUCGUUUUUCUCACGAAAUAAAACUUUGUGACUUAAAUCUGAAAAAAAAUCAGAUUUACAUCUAAAAAAAAGGCGAGGCUUUGUUUUUCCCAGCGAAUUAUUGUGAAUCUAAAGGAGAUCAGAAGGGAUUUUGAAUCCCAAAAAACAUUGAUAUAAAAUUCUCCCUUCCCCAGAUCUGAUAAUUCAUCUUAAGGUCAGUGAGAGACUCAACAAGAAACUAGAAAUGUGUAAAGAGGGUUAUAAUUAGAAAUAGGGUAAAUAAAUUUGGUUUUAGCCGGUAAAAUAAUCUAUGUUUCAUGGUAAAAAAAUGUCAAUUUUUAAUUGGUUAGAUUAUCCAUACUGAAAGCACGUGACCAAACGCGUCAAAAAAAUUUAUAAACUCAGGUCGGACGUGUUAAACUGGUGCAGUAAAUGUAUAGUAAAAGUGUUUUGGUGAAAAAUGGCUUAGUUGAGGUGUUCAAGUGAACUUUCUUUGAUAGUUUAAUUAUCUAUCUAUGUAUUUUGCUUUAGUAUUACAAAAAGUAGAUAUGGCAGGGAGCGAUUGUGUUGAUGCAUGUAUGUUGAUAUUGCCGACCCUCCUUUGUAGUGUUCCUUGCUAAUAAGAAAUUGUGACAAAAGGUGGUGGGUGUGCAAAAAGUAUGCAGUUAUCCUCUCAUGCGUGGAUCCAUAUUUAGUUUAAUCGUCUGCAAUACAAUUUUGCUUUCUGUAGAUAUGCUAGAUGGGAGGAUUACCCAGUUGCAGAAGUAACAACCUACAAUUAUUAAUAAUGUUAAUAUAAUGUAUAGUAGUUGUUUGAAAUAUGCCGAUGAGUUGUUGCGCGUCUGUUUCAAUAACAAUGUGUGUGAUAUGCUGUUAUAUAGCAAUUUUAAGUCCCAUUAGUUGUGCAAGGAGUUUUUGUCUGGACGUUUGUACCUAGCUUUGAUUGUCCUACAAAACUCAUAAUCCAACUGCCUAUUAAUUCACGUUCUUAUUUUACGUAUAAGUCCUUAUUUUUCAACUCAGCAAAUGAAACUUAAUCUAUAAAAACAAGUACUGUAAUUUAUGAAUAGGAACAAUAAUAACAUUUGAAGUUACUUUCUUCGAGUAUGGUCUGGUGUGAAUACAUAAAUCUGAAACACAUAAAUGAAAUAGAACUAUUUGUGCGUUGGAGUGAUGGAAAGCACAAGUUUAAGUGACCCCUCAAUUUUGAAACUUAAGACUCCAAAUUCUUCAAAUUGAAGCCUCAGAGGGUUAAUUAUUUGAGAGAAUUACACUUAAAUAUAACUCACAGACAUACUAUACAACCAAGUGACCUACUUAUAACUAAGAAAAUAUAUAGCAUGAAAAUAAUAGGCUAAGUGGUGUUUGAAAUGUCAAUACCACACAAGAGAAGAUAAUUUGUGUGGUACCUAAUUUUUUGCUUUAGAAGAAUCUGGUUCUUCUAAGUGUACUUUCUACUACUAUUUGCGGAAUAAUAAAUACAUAAAAUAAAGAACACAAAGAUUUUACGUGGAAAACACCCGGCUCAAAAGGUGAAAAACCUCACGACCUACUAUUCAGUAGGAUUUUUCCAAACUUACUACUAAAAUCAUUGAGCCAAAACAGUAUUUACAAAACUCUUUGUAAACCUAACGAUUACCUCUAAUCAUGUUGUAGUAACCAGCCUCUAACUAUUGCGAUAACUUCAGGUUAACUAUAACUUGAAUACUCAAAGUACUUAUUACAAUUCCUUCUAAAUAAGUUGAAAGGUACACUAUAAAAACACCUACUACAAUUGAAUUAGAAAUAAAGAAAGACACAUAAAACUUUUUAUGGAGCUGGUUCUUCAAUCAGCCUCUAACUAUUGCGAUAAUUUCAGGUUAACUAUAACUUGAAUACUCAAAGUACUUAUUACAAUUCCUUCUAAAUAAGUUGAAAGGUACACUAUAAAAACACCUACUACAAUUGAAUUAGAAAUAAAGAAAGACACAUAAAACUUUUUAUGGAGCUGGUUCUUCAAUCAGCCUCUAACUAUUGCGAUAAUUUCAGGUUAACUAUAACUUGAAUACUCAAAGUACUUAUUACAAUUCCUUCUAAAUAAGUUGAAAGGUACACUAUAAAAACACCUACUACAAUUGAAUUAGAAAUAAAGAAAGACACAUAAAACUUUUUAUGGAGCUGGUUCUUCAAUCAGCCUCUAACUGAUUCAUGUAGCUUUAGGUUUGCACACUUGAAUCACACACGAACUGCUUGCAAAAAGACUUGUUGUUUUGCUCUAAAUUCACGUUUAACUUCUGCGUUUUUGUGCAACCCUUUUAAUGUAUGAAUAUCAUGUAAUUUAUAGAGUUAGUAGAUGAAGAAAUAACUAGAGUUCUGAUGCAACUCUUCCUUGAUGGAAGAGUUCUAGAUGAUUUCAACUUCUAACUCUUUUUAUAUCUUGGAUAGUGUUCUCUUUGGUUAAGGAUUCCUUUUCCUUAUCAAUUAUGCAACCUUUUCGAUCAGGAGAUAUUAAAUACACCAAGUUAAGCGUAUCUCCUUCACGUGCAACCCACAUGCUCGAAUCUGCCCAUUUUUGUGCACUUGAGUGAUGGGCCUGGUUCAUCCUGAGUUCCUUUGUCAGUCUUCAACACUAACCUUUACUUGGGCCAACGAAUUUCCCUUUUUUGAUGAUGACAAACUCUAUGCUUUUCAUAAGCUUGGGCCCUGUUUCAACUUAGCUUAACAUCAACGCAAUGUUAGAAAUAUUUUUCCUUUUUACCACUUAUAAUCAAGGACCAGGUACAUUAGGUUAUGAACAUCACUAUUCAAAGUGUAAACAUCACUUGUUUAAAGAACAACCUUUCCCCCCUUUUGGCAUCAUAGAAAAGUUGCAUAAAAAAUGUGAGAUAACCAGAUUUUAAAGCUUACUCAUGGCCACUAGGCUACUUCAAAUGCAAUCAUGGAUUAAUCAUCAUAGAUCAAGCUAAGAAUUUUUAACCAUCAAAGAAAUAUAACAGUUAGAGCAAAAGCCAGUGAAUUUCAUUGAUGGUUGAUAAGAUUCUACCACAGAGCAUAAGAAGAAAUAAAAAUACUGAAAAUAUGAGCAACAAAAACAAAACAUCCUGAACUAGGUCACUGGUUGAUCGGCACUAAGAUAGGAGGCUUAAGGCUGGGAAGCGCUAUGUGCUUGGCUUUUAACUUGGAGGAGUUUCAGCACACCUUGAAGAAUUCUCUCAUUCUUCUCUUUUUCUCUUGCCAUAUCAGUUCUGAGAGUAUCUCUCUUAGUCUCCAUCUCAACCAACCUCUUCUUCAGCCUUUCAAUCUCUACAUACUUAGCCUCACUUUCUUGCACCAAGGCACUGACCUUGCUAUUCACUGGUACCUUUUUGGAUGAACUAGGUUCUUUUGGAGUGACAUUGACUUCAUAAUCGCAAGCAAGCAUAGUAUUAACCCAAAAAUGAUCCAUGCUUGUACUAACCACCUUUUCUUAGGUUAUUAACUUUAUAAUCACAAACAAACAGUGUAUUAACCCAAAAAUGAUCCAUGCUUGUGCUAACCUCCCACCUUUUCUUAGGUACAUUGAAAUGAGCAGGCACAACUGUGAGAAUGAUGCCAUACAGAAUGAUAUGAGUUUUGGUGCCAUUAAUAACUCUAUCAAGAAGCUGGACUAUAGCUUUCAGUCACUUUCUUCUGCAGGUCUUGCGAGAGUUUCUUCUACAGAUGAACCAGGUUCAUCUCUCCAAACAACCAUUGCACCUGCAGUUUUAGUUAAACUCACAGGAGUGGGUGAAGAAUUAGCCACUCUUUCCCCUUUCCCCUUACAGUACUCCUAGCACCCUUUGCUCUCCUUUUUUUCUUUUUCAUUUUUGCCACCAACUUCUCCAGAUUCUAUAGUCUCAACACAUGCUAUAGAUCCUACAAGUAUAUUCUCUAAAUUUACAGCAACUUUAGAAAUUAUCUCUGGAUAAAUUUUAGAAUCAGAAGAUACAUGUUCAAUUUCGGGAGAACCACUUUAUUCUCCCUGAGUUGCAGACUUAAAAGAAUCUAGGUAGUUUAAUAGGGUCAUGAGUCUUGAAUGUGAUUGGUUCACUUGUAAUGGAUAAGUUCAAAAGAACUUUGGUAUUUGGUAGGACUUUGCUCAUGAUCCAAAUAUAGUUAUUCGAAAUUAUGCAGAGUGUAAAAAAUAUACUAUGUUAUCUUGAUGAACCAGGUUUUUCACUGAUAAUUCUCUUGUGUAAGUCUAAAUUUUCCAAAAUAGAUAAAAUAUCAUUAGAGAUUAAUGAGUCAUUUUAAUACAUGGCACAAAUAUACUAUGUAAAGUAUAAGACUAAGCAAGAUUUAAUCUAACUAUACACAAUUCACAGACUUCCUAGCCAACUAUACCACAUGAAACAAGAUUAUACUAUGGAAAGUAUAAGACUGAGCAAGAUUUAAUCUAACUAUACACAAUUUACAAACUUUCUAACCAAAUAUAUUUUUUCAAUUUAGUUUUAUUUUUUUUGUUUAACCCUAAACUAAUCCUUUUAGGUGAUAUUAAUCAUCCCUAGUUCCAACCUGUUCAUCUCAAAGUGAUCUCUACUUAAGCCUUUGUGAAGAUGUCAGCAAUUUGCUCGUUAGUAGCACAAAACCCCACAGUGAUCAAGCCUUUCUCAUAGUUGUACCUCUAACAAAUGGUGUCUAACAUCUAUGUUAUUAGUUCUCUUAUAAUGAACAGGAUUCUUAGUCAUACUAAUAGCACUAGUGUUACCACAAAAAAUAAGGAUGAAACUAACUUUAAUACCAAGAUCCAUCAGAUGUUUCUUUAUCCACAACAAUAGAGCACAAUCAUGAAGCAGCAGCAACAUACUCAGCUUCAACGGUAGAUAAGGCCACUGAAUUUGCUUUUUAAUAGCCCAUGACACAAGACAUGAACCAAGAAAGUGUGACAUACCUGAGGUGCUCUUCCUAUCCCCUAGGAAACCUGCAUAAUCAACGUCAGCAUAUCCCACUAGGAUAAAAUUACUACAUUUGGGAUACCAAAGGCAAAGGUUAGUGGUACCUUUCAAGUAUCUAAAUAUUCUCUUUACAUUAGUCAAGUGGGACUCCUUUGGAUUUGCCUGAAAUCAAGCACAAAGACCUACACUGCACAUAAUGUCAGGUCUACAAGUAGUGAGAUAUAAAAGAGAACCAAUCAUUCCCCUAUAUAAAUUCUGAUCAACAGAUGAACCAAGUUAAUCUAUAUCCAAUUUCGUGAAUGUUGCAAUAGGAGUGUUAAUUUAUUUGGAUGUUCCUUCUUGGAUUUGUUACUGAGGAAUAGGUUCAUGGAUAGGUUCCCUCGAGGUUUGAUGAUCAGUCAUCUCUAGUCAGUUCCCCCUGUCAUAUUGCCCUAGGUAGAAGGACAUGUUCCACCACAUGUUCCUUCUUAUGAUGCAUAUUAAGGAUGGACUGUGGUUUCAAAAUUUGAAUUUCUUAUCAACCCAAACUCUUCAUUAUCUUGUUUCCCGCCUCUCAUAAAGAAUAUUAGUUUCAUCAAAAACUACAUGUACAUGUUCUUCUACACACAUAGUUCUUUUGUAGUGCACUUCAUAUGCUUCUCUAUGUGAAGGAUAUCCCAAGAAUAGUCUCUUAUCACUUCUGGAAUCAAACUUUACAUAGGGAGUCUUUCCAUUAUUGUGCACGAAGCACUUGCAUCUAAAUGCCCUAAGAUGAGAUAUAUUUAGUUUCUCACUUUAAGUGACUCAUAAGGAAUCUUUUUAACAAGAGGUCUAGUCAUACAAAUAUUUAUGAUGUAGCAUGCAAGAAUUAAGCAAGCUUAGCAUUUUCAAAUUUAGUUCCAUGAUCAGACCUAAUUGAUGCAUGUUGAUUACCUAGUUGUUACACAAGAAGCAAACAUGUCAAAUGCUUCAACUUUAGAUGUUAAAAAUAAUGUCCAAGUAAACUGAUUACCUAGUUGUUUCUGAUUUUUUUUUAACACAAGAAGAAAACAUGUCAAAUGCUUCAACUUUAGAUGUUAAAUAUAAUGUCCAAGUAAACCUAGAAUAAUCAUCAACAAGCACCAUCAAAUAUCUUUUACCACCUCUACUUAAUAUUCUCAUUGGACCACAGAGAUCCACAUGGACCAGUUUUAUCGUUCUAGUGGUGCUUACCAUUUUUUUGCUUUUGAAAGAGGAUCUUACCUGCGUCCCCCUUGCACAAGCCUUACAACUUUUGUCUUUCUUGAACUUAAUGUUAGGCAGUCCUAUCACCAAAUCCUUGGAGACAGUUUGUUGAGUUGACUUAGACUGGCAUGUACAAGUCUCUUGUGCCAAAGGAGGGGAUCAUUGUCCAACAAACUUAAGCAAGUAAUUUUAUUUUUUUAAUGUGCGGACAAAUCUAUAAUGUAUAUAUUGUUUACUCCUUUUUCCCUGCAAAACAAUCUUGUCAGCGGUAAAGACUAAUCACAAAAUAUUUUGUAGAGGUGAAUGCUACCAAGUUAUUACCUUUAUCACCCAAUUGCGAUUAUCUUAUUAGGCAGUAUUUUAGGCUAUCUAUAAAGUAGUUAUUCUCAAUAGAGUGAGAAUCAACCUUACCUACCUUUCCAACCCCAAUGAUCUCACCUUUCUUCCCAUUUCCAAAGGAGACAUCACCUCCUUUGAGGUCCUUAAGUGAAAGGAAUUGGUUAUUACUUCCUGUCAUAUACUUUGAGCAGCCACUGUCCAUGUACCAUAUUUGGCUGCUCCCCUUCACCUGGACCACAAAAGGAAACAAGGAGUUAGUCUUAGAAACCAAGUUAGUUUGGGUCCCUUUCUAUAGGUGUUGAUAUUCACUUUUUCCCUAUGUAUUCUUAUACCCCAAACAUACUCUCAUUUGAGCACCUCAAAAGAUUUUGGCAUUUUUAAAGGAUUUUAAAACUAAUUUAUGGCCUAUUUUUACACCAUAAAUCCCAAUAAUUAUUCACCAAAAAUUGGCAUUUGGAAUAUAGUUUAUUAUAUUCUGAAAUUUGUAUAAAAACAUAAUUUACAUGAUUUUUCUAUAACCAAAACUUUCCAUUUGGAGGAUAGUUUAUUUUAUUCUGACACUUAGAUAAAAAUAUAAUUUACAUGAUUUUUGUAUAAUUUUACGAGUCCAUUUGAUAUUUUUAAAAUUAAAUUGCAUGAAACUGUAAUUUUUGCCCAUUUCCAGAUUUAAUAGCUAUUUUAAUUACAAAAUCAAUUCCAAUAUUUUUAAAUUAAUACUUACAUAUUGUUUACUAAACUGUACUUUUAAUUUAAUUUUUAACAUCUUUUGCGAUUUUUAUCAAUUCAAAGGGAAAAAGUAGCUAUUUCAAUAUUGGCCUCAAUGCUUUCAAUUAUAGCCCAAUUCUGACUCCAAUCCAGCCCAAAUUAAAUGACGCAAUUUUUGAUUUUAACCCUCCACUUACCCGUUUAAUUAAACCCACCUUAAUCCCGGCUGUUGAUCAUUUUUUAUCAACCACCCACAACAUUUCUUUGCUUUUUAAUAUCCCAAAUAGGCCUAACCUUAAUUCAUUCUUCACAAAUAGCCACCCUAAAAUCCCUUCGUCUCCUAAAUCCUCUCUAACCCUCUCCGAAACCCUAGCCCUAUCCCGCCGAUUUUCACCGUGUUUCACAGGAAUCAAUGGAAUGCCAAGCCUCGAGCAACCUAUACUCACCUCCGUGUGCCCUUAUACCCCCUACAUCUUCGCCGAUUCGAGUUCUGCGGUCAUCUCCAGCAAUCCUAGCCCUAUGAGUCCAUCUCUGACUCGUUCAAUUGGGAGCAGACCCUUUUCCAGGACUCUCUCACUUCUAGGGUUCUUCUGAAACCCUAGCCUUUCGAGGUUUUCCUAUUUUUCUUUUGAUCUGCUCCAGAUCCAUGUUUAUCUUUUCAACGAUUUCUUAAAUCUCUUUCAAAAUUUUACUUUCAAAACUGUUCAUCUUCUCCGAUGUAGGGUUUCUACUGUGAUUUUUAUGUGGUGUUCUUACUGUAUUUGUCCUACUGUGACUCCCGUGUGUUUCUACUUUGACUCCUAUGCGUUUUAUUCUACUAUUUUUACUCCUAAUGCUUCCUUGUGUUUUUCUUUUGCUGUGUUCUCCCUCAUCAUGUUUUCACAGAACCAUAAGUUCCUUUGGGUUUUCUGAGUUUACUUUUGUCUGAUUUGUAUGCUUUCGUCCGUACACUGGACUAAUGACAAAAACCAUAGAAUUUGGGGGUUUUCAGACCACUUGUAUGUGACUUGCGUGCUCUCACCUCUAAACUAGUUUGAUUUCAAUUUCUGAAGUCAUCUCUGUUUUUCAUAUGGUUCUGACCUUUUGCCAAAAGCUCUUCUACACUAGAUUUUCCCACUGAUUCUUUACAAUGAAAGUAGAGUCUUCUUGUUUUUCAUAUGGUUCUGACCUUUUGCCAAAAGCUCUUCUACACUAGAUUUUCCUACUGAAUCUUUACAAUGAAAGUAGAGUCUUCUUUCAUGUUUUACGUGUUCGUAUGCUCCUUAUGUACUAUGAAUUUCCCCCAUAAAUGGUUUUUCAAAUUUUCAAUUAAUUCAAAAUUUCUUCUGAAUAUAGCUUGAUUGAUUUCUUUCCAUUUUUGCUCGUGACUCGACCUAUGUAAAACCCUUCUUUUUUUUUCGGACUUGAUUCAUUCGUAUAAAAAUCUCAAACCUUUUGAUUGACUGUUUGUUAACAAGUUUUCUUACCUUAUUUGCACAAAUCAUGUAUUUCAAAAACUUGUACUUAAAUAACUUUUAUGUAUUACACUUAUUUGUAUAUUAUGCACAAUGUUGUUUAUUUGAUCUCCUUUCCUUAAGUAUGUCCUGUCCUUUAAUGAUCAAAUUGGAAUUCCUUACUUAAAGGAACCUCUGUUAAUUGAUUGAUCCUGAUUGAUACUCGAUCAUUUUAUUUCCUUGCUUGCAUGCAUGACUUCAAGUAUAAAUACAUGCUCCUCUCUUCACUCCGUCAUCGAAUUCUGACUACAAAUCAAAUCAGAAUUCACAUCUCUGUCUUGAAAUAUUCUUUACUACCACCAUUACUACUCUCUAGUUUUUUCUACAGUACUACUGAGCAUUCUACAUCUUUACUUCCUUCCAUUUGAACUCCUAAGUUGUGGGAGCUUCUUGAGUUUGUUCCUAUUGACUACAUGUCUAUUAUUUUGCACUUACUAUUCUGUUGUUCUAGAAUUUGCAACUGGUAUGUUCUUCUAUGUUAAAUAACAUUUUUUUUCGUGUUCAACUUCUCUGCUUCUACCCUUCUUUCUUUGUGUGUUUACAUAUAUUUCCUGCAGUAAGUGAUUAUCUUCAAUCAUCCUAUUCCUCUUUAUGUUAUGCUUUUAACUCUUUCUCUCUGUUCCCUUUGUAUGUGAGUGUUGUCCUGAACCAUGGCAGCACUUUGAAUUGCUGUCUAUGAUUUAGAACUAAGACUCUUCUGAGUCUUUACUCAAUCUCUUUCCCAUUCCCCUUUUCCCCUAUGUGCUGAGCUUUACUUUGGGUGUAUUGGUGUCCUAAUCACCAUUAAGACCUAAGUUUGACUCUAUAAAAGUCUGCUCUUAUUUGUUUGAAUCUGAGCAAGAGGUCAGGGGUCUGCUAGUCUAUGCGAUGGCUGGGUAUGACCACCUCCUGCUGAGGUUCCUCCCUCACUUUGCACUUACACCUAGUUUUUAAGUUCUACCCCCCCCCCCCCCCUCCUAGUUUUUAUGUUCUACCACCCUUGGGUAAGCAAUGCUUAGGGACCCUAGAGUUCCCUCUGAACUUGGAUGCCUGAGGGCUGGUAAUUCCACACAUGCACUACUCUGUUGCAACAUUCACUCUUUAGAGUGUAAGCAUUGCCUGGGCUCUUGAAGCUCCUUGAAACUUUGAAAUACUCUAAGAGAAGGCCUUGGAAUCUGGAAUCGGGAUUUGGUAAAACACAUGUAUUGGAUAUUGAAAUUGCAUUAGGCAGUUUCGAUCUAGAUUUGGGCUAUGAUGUAUUUUAUUUUAUUUUUUUACUUUUGGUUCUGUAAUAAUAACUUUGUAAUUAGAACUUGGGGAGCAUAGUAGUAAAGGGUAUGGGAGGGGUUAUUAGUUGUUUGCAUGCUAAAGGGUAGGAAUCAUGCCAAUAGGAUUUUAAUACUUUGAAUCACCUACAAAUCAUGCCUAUAGGAUUUUACUACUUUGAAUCACCUAGCUAUCAUGCCUAUAGGAUUUUACUACUUUAAAUCACCUAGAUAUCAUGCCUAUAUGAUUUUCAUACUUUGAAUCACCUAGAUAUCAUGCCUAUAGAGUUUUAUUACUUUGAAUCGCUUAGAUAUCAUUAUCACAACUGUAAAGCAUUUAGAAAUCAUGCCAAUAGAAUUGCAUAAAAGAUAGGCAAACAAUAGAGUAGUACAAUGCUCGCAUGCCUUAAGCGUUUAAAAUAGCAAUGAAUAAAUAAAUGCCAAAGUAGAUAUCCUGCCUAUAGGAUCUCAAAGUUCGCCUAAGUUAUAUAAGUAAUAAUCUGUCAACUAUUCUCAACGUUUUCAACAAAAUUUUUCCAAACCUGUCUGCAACUUAAUAAACACGCAUUCUUAAAAUCGCUUUUCUAUCUCUCUGUCUGAAUUUUUAUUAUUCUUGAAGUUACUUUCAAAUCAACUUUCAAACUCUUGCCUCCUUUUAUAAACACUAUACUUCUGAAAUUUCUGUUGUACAUUUACUUAAACAGUUCUGUCGAUUUCGAAACCAUUCUAAACUUUUACAAGCCUCUGCUUUUGUUUCCAAACAUUUUCUGCAUUAGACCCUUAACCAAUAAUUUGUUAGAAUGCUCCAAAUCCUAACAAUUGGAUCCUAAUUUCCUAAUGUAGACCUUUUAUUUAAUUCUAUGUGUUAAACUGGUCCGUCCGUCGCUUAAGUUUUAAUUUAAGACCAACUAGUACAUGUAAGACAUGCUAUACUAAAUGCUAUGUGAUUUAUAGGGUUUUAGAUGAACCUUUGCAUGUUUGUUUGUCAAUCCCCUACUUGGUAUUUGUUUUGAAUGACGAAUUAGACUUUUAUCCUUUGAAACUCCAUCGAAAGCCCCCAUCUGUUUCUUCCCCUUUUAGGAUUAGAAGUCCUAAUACCCCAGGACUGAUAGGUUUGGACGGUUACUAGCAUGCAACAAGUAAAACGAGACUAAUUGUGUUUAAAUACCUUGACGGGUUGGGAAGGGUAGAAUAUGGUUAUGAUGACUGGUGCGUUAAUAUCUCGUGUGAGAAUGAUUGCUGGGUAUUGCACCAAAGUGAUCCAUAUUAUAUUAACACUAGGACCCCUUUUCCUUAUUUAUUUAUUUAUUGAUAUUUUUCUUAGAUUAAUGCUUUACCCCACUAAGCUUCCUCUUUUCAAAAUCAUUUAUGUUUUCUUUCAAAAUUUUCAACUUGUUUAUACUUCCUAUGUGCAAACUUUGCUUGUGUAUUCCUACUCUUCUUAAAGUCACAAUUAAGCAUGGCCGGGAACCAUACUAGUGGAUCUUGAGGGGUGCCUAACACCUUUCCAUCGAAAUAAUCUCAAGCCCUUACCCGAACUCUGGUUUUUAUUUCAAGAUCUUCUUCUCUUUAAAAGUUUCCAAAUGCACAAUUAAGCCAUUACGUUCUUUGUGACUUUAUUGGUUCUUUAAUUGCAUUUACUUUCGGUCUUUAAUUGUUUCAUCAAGAAUAAUAACUUUGCUCUUCAUGUUUUUCUCUCCCUUUGGUUUCUUCUUUUACUACCUUAUUAUUUCAAUUCUGUUGUAAUUUCCAUGUAUUUAUUGUAAUCUUUAUGAAUGUGAAAAUACAUGCAAUUUGCUUCAUUAUUGUACCUGCAUUCCUCAACAUCAUAUUCCAAUCGUGCCAAAAUAAAUCCUAUAGCAAUGCCUACAAUGAGUGGUUGCGCCCUUCCAAUAUUAUAACCCCCCAAAUGUGGCAAAGACAUAUUUGCAGUAAAACCAGUCGAUCGAUGGUGUAGUCGACAGUUCCGCGUCUUUCCCUCUUGAGUUGUUCGCUCAAGGGUACCUUGUCUAGCACUUCAAAAGUAGAAACCUUAUUCCGUUAAAAUAUUCAUGCAUCAUGGUCAACCCUAGCCGAGUCCUUAAGAUAGCCUGAACCAAAGUCCACAUAAUGACUCCUUAAGAUAGCCUGAACCAAAGUCCACCGGGUUUCCUCGAAAUCCAAACUGACACCCUACGUUAUGUGCAUUUAUUUGGAGAACUGAAUGCCUUUUGCUAGUUAUUGAUUUAAAUAGUCGAGUAUGGUGGGCGUAAAGGCCUAACACUUUUUUUGCAGAAAAUGAGGCACGAAGUCGCCAGAUUAGGUAUGGUAUCCAACAUUCACCCAAGGUUGCUAAGUUGGUGGGAAGAUCUUCAUGCCAACAAUCAAACCCUCGUGCGCAAGUACUUAGGGAAUUUGACCUCACUUCUAGAAAUCCAGCCUAACAACAAAAUCAUAGAGGCCGCAACUCUAUUUUGGGACAGUGAUCGAUCGGUUUUCGCUUCGGGGAUUUGGAAAUGACUUCUUUACUGGAAGAAAUAGGAGGUUUCGCUGGUAUCCCUUGGGAGACUCCUAGUCUGCUUAUGCCAGAAAACCGCAAGAGUAGAGGUUUCCUUAAGAUGAUGGAACUCAAGAAAAUCCCUACCUAGCUUGCUUGAAGGACUCCUACAUACCAUUUGAUUUCGUGUACGACAGGUAUGACCAUAUCAAGUCCUAUCGCACCUAAACUGACGAGUUUGCCCUCACCUCUUUGGGGCACAUACAUAGGAGGGCCUUUGUGUUCAUGUUUUGCUUCUUGGGUAUGAUUAUUUUUCUCAUGAAGAAGGCUAGGAUCCACACCAGACUAGCCAUGCUGACCAAGACCUUAAUGGAGGGUAUUGACGGACAAUUUCUUAGCAUGUGCCCAUGAAUUUCCCAUUAAGAAGGCUAGGAUCCACACUAGUCCGGCAAUGGUAACCAAAACCUUGAUGGAAGGUAUUGAUGGGCAGACUUUAAGCAUAGUGCCCAUGAUUGUUGCCGAGAUGUAUGAGCCUUGGGGAAAUGUCAAAAAGGGGCUCCACACUUCGAGGGUUGCAAUCUGUUACUUCAACUCUGGCUCAUAGAACACCUUCGAAAAGGCGGCUACAGACUGGAAAUCAUCCGCAGAGAUUGGGAUGACCAUAUCACUUUUCACCACCCAAAGCGAAUGAACUUCAUGCCCAACAUGUUCGCUCAGCCAGAGGAUGCUAGUGGAUGGGUAGAGUUGUUUGAAAAUCAAAAAAAGAAGAGCAAGUUCAGUGGAUGUUUGAGUGGUUCCCAAUAGGGGAGUUCAUUGUCCGUUCUCGAGACGCGCCAUUUCUCAUGCUUAUCGGUCUGAGGGGAACUCAUCCUUAUGUCCGUCUCCGAGUCAUGAGGCAAGCUGGAAGAAAGCAGAUCAUACCCGGGAUAGAGAAAAUGAGUCAUUUCAGGGCUAACUUUCAAGAUGAUGAUAGCCUACACAGGUGUCACGCUCAGCAUAUGUUUCACUACAAGCUCGUCUUAGGACAUGAGUCUCUUGAACCAGGCAGGUAUUAUGCCGGGUGUGUACCACACUACACGGGUUGGUUGGAAGAUGAUGACAUUGGUUUGGGUCAUCCAUGAUUCGUCCAUGGUCAUAGGAUUAUUGAUGAGAAAACUAAAGCGCAAGUCAAAUACAAUCAGCUGUGCAAGAGGGUGCGAGAAUGCGAGAAUGAACCUUGGGAAAUACAGGAAGAUCACGAGAAGCUGAUCAACGAGUGGAAGGAUAUGGCUGUCAACGCCAACAAUCGGCUAGGGUAUCUAGAGCGAGGUCUAGUGGAGUUGGAAGGGUUUGGGUCAUCCAUGAUUCGUCCAUGGUCAUAGGAUUAUUGAUGAGAAAACUAAAGCGCAAGUCAAAUACAAUCAGUUGCGCAAGAGGAUGCGAGAAUGUGAGAAUGAACAUCAGGAAAUAAAGGAAGCUCAAGCUGAUCAACGAGUGGAAGGAUAUGGCUAUCAACGCCAACAAUCGGCUGGGGUAUCUGGAGCGAGGUAUAGUGGAGUAGGAAGGAAUAUUCUUGAAAAGAAUUGAAGACUGUCUGAAUGCCGAGGGAAGUGCAGGUGGACAUCUGGAUCGAGCCUGUCUGCUGUUAGGACUGUGCAAGUUGAUGCAACUGUACGAGGGAGGCAAGAGUACCGAAUCUGGGGAAGGUCCUUCUGGGACCAAGUAGUUAGGAUCCUUUAUUUUUUGCUUUCAUAAUUUAAUAAGGCCAAUGUCCAUUAGUGACAUCUUUUAUUAUUCAGUUGUUUUAAGACUCGUCUUGUUUUAUCAAUAAAAUGAGACAUUUAGCAUUAUAAGUUCUCCAAAUUUAAUUUGUCGCUAGGCCUACCUUGGGCACAAGCAGGCACCCAAAUUAGGAAACGAAUUAUACUAUUGCACAACGUGUUUAAAUACCACAAUAUUAUUUUUCGAAUCCACACUAACUUUUUACCUUUUUGUUUUUCUUUUAUUUUUUAUUCCCCCUCCCGAAAGGUUAGUUUGUGCAUUCUGGGACCAUCAGCAUACUCAACAAGAUCCAAGGGUCCUCCACCUCCUCCUCCCCUAAGUCGUACCAGAAAUAGGAACAAAGGUAAAAUGGGAGAUGCAAGCGCUAGAAAGGAACUAGAGGAAACUUCCCAGAAUGCUGCAAUUACCAAGGAGACUGCUACUCAUCUUGAGCAAACUCUACUGACAUUUCGGGAGAAAUUGGACCAAGUUCGGAACCUGGCAAGCCUGUCAAUCACUCUUGCCGCUCCUGAUGUUAACACCGGAAAUCUCGUAACUCCACAACCUCCAAUGCAACCUACUCAUUCCCAAGCCUGACACACAUGCAAUAACACUCCACUGCUCAUUCCUGAACCUCUAAACACCAUAAAAUACCAUAACGCCCCUAUCUUUGUGGACACUAUGCCCCACUACACUCAGCCAAACACAAGUGCACCCGAAUCAGAUGACAAAGGCUCCCUCAUUCAGAAUUUGGCCGCUGAACUCAAGAAGUUAACUAGCCGGAUCCAAGGUAUCGAAGGUCGUAAAGGUAUUGAAGGGUUGAAUUACAAAUAUCUCUGUGUUAAGCCAGAUGUCAAACUCCAGGAGGGGUACAAACCUCCGAUGUUCGAAAUGUUGUACAGGUGAUCCCAGGGUCCACCUGAGAAUGUAUUAUAAUAAGCUGGUAGGAGUUGGAAGGGAUGAGAAAAUCCGCAUGAAGUUGUUCAUGAGGAGUCUAAAAGGUGAUGCUUUAUCAUGGUAUAUCAGCCAAGAUGCAAAGAAAUGGACAAGUUGGGUGAACAUGGCAUCUGACUUUAUGGACCGAUUUAGGUUUAACAAUGAGAACACUCCAGAUAUGUUCUAUAUCUAGAAUCUAAAAACGAAACCCACAGGGAACUUCCGUGAGUAUGCUAAACGUUGGAGGAUGUAAGCUGCUAAGGUCAGGCAGCCUUGGAGGAGGAGCAGAUGAACAUGUUCUUUGUCCGUUAUCAGGACCCGCAAUACUAUGAAAGGCUGAUGCUAAUAGAGGGUUGAAAUUUCCCCGACAUCAAGUUGAGAGAAAGGAUCGAAGAGGGCAUCAAAAAUAGUAUAGUCACUAACCUCGAGGCAUUUCAAGCUACCAACAAGGCUUU
rnacentral:lncRNA from 1 species